UUCAAGGCUUUAUCUAAUUUCUUAGGUAAAGUGUUAAUCAUAGAGUAAUAUUUUGUAUUGCAUCGCUCACGUGAUUAGGAAACUAAGAUUUCAGCUCCCUCAGACAACAUUGAUCUUACAAUGUAAAAGAAUUUGGCUAUUAUAUAUUCAGGAUCAUUUUGUUUACAUAGCUAUUCAACUGUUUCGAUUCUUAUACAUCAUGAAAAGCGCUUCGGACGCAUGACAUUUGUAAUUUUAGGUGUUGUUUUUAUUUUUAUGCCACUAUUACCGUUCUAGAGUUUUGCUCCUUUACAAAUGGAAAAAUUGCUGCAUUUUUAUUUUUUUCUCUCAAACUUUAGUUUGGCUCAACAAAAUGUUAUGAAACUGAUACACAAUGCUUAUUACUACAAAAACAGAUCCAGUAUGCUGGUGGUGUCAAUUUAUCUCUCUAGAGCUAUGCCUCUUUAUAACGUUAUAUGCAAGAAGGGGCAUCAUGUGUCCCAUGGAAACGUGCCAAUUUUUUUCUGACAUGCUUUAUAUACUAUCAAUAAUCGAAAUAAUAUGAAAAUGAAUCUAUGGAAAUUUCCCUUGUAGAAAAACCUCCCGAAGUCCUUUAUAAUAGUUGAAUUGGUUCAAACAGCGUUUUUACGCUAGGAUGUCAAAAGAUCUCUAGGUGGUUUGGGGGGAGGAGGGUGGUAGUCAAUAAAAUUUAUUAUAGUGGUUCAGAGAACAAGUUCAAAUAUUUGCCAUUUGCAACGGUGAAAUUCGUAUUCAAAAGCGACUCGUGUUUUUCUCCGACUUCCUCGAUUAUGCACGUGAAUACGUAUGCUGAAAGAAAUGUAACGGAACAUACUUACUGAAGAAUAGCCAUACUUUGACUCUCUAAGAUUGCUAGUAGAUUUAAUUAAUUACUUAACUUGAGCUAUACAUCAAAUUCAUUUUGAUAUGCCAUAUCAGGGUGAUUGUGGUGAAAAGACCUGUGUAAAAGUCACUUUGUGGAGCACCUGGGAUCACCCCUGGUAUGCAUUGACCAGUCUUCAGUUUUCCAUGUUGUAUUUUGUGUACGGUGUUGCCUCUUUUUUUUUCGUUUUUUGUGUGUUUGUCAUGGCAUUUUCGGUAUAUUUUCAACUUAUGAGUUUGGAUAUCCCUUUGACAUCUUUCAUCUCCUUUUUAACUUACAUAGCAGAAUAGAAAUAGGAGCUUGUACUUUUAUUUUACCUUUACUUGCUCUUCUGUUUUAGGUAAUAAAAAUUUCCUGCUAGGACACAUCCAUGCCAAGCAGACUGCAGUGUAUUUGGUCUUAUUAGCAAUGCUUACUGGCAAUCGUUCGGAACUCCAGUAGAAUCGACAAUCAAAAGUAAGUAUCAUAUUUCCAAAUGUCAUGAUUAUUUUUGUAUGUGUGGCUUCCCAAUGAAAAUUUUAAAUUGAAUAAAACCUAAAAUUAUAAGUCUAAGAUUUCAUUGAUGAACUGGUAAGCUCUCUUUUAUUCUUAUUUGAAUGUACGACGUUUAUACGAACACGUUGAUUUUUUUUGUUUUUGUUCUUUUUUUUAUCUAUAAUUUAUGAAUACGACGGCAUGGACACUACUGUUCUUACAUUUGAUCUCCCUGUUUAAUGUAAAUUCAAUGGUAACACUUUAAAAUGGAUUCUAGUUAGUUCAGAUAAUGUUUCCUAUAACAGAAAAUAAUGUCAUGAAUAAUUGGCUUUUUUCUUCUUUUUCAAACUACCUAGUAUAACAACUUAAACUUAAAUCAUUAAACCCUUUAGAUUUUCUAUAGAUGAUUUUUAAAACUAUGCAUACUGGCUUAAAUUGACACUGUCAACAAACUUCCAACUAAAAUUUUCAUUCAUUUUUUUUUCUUUUUCAACUUUUUAACAAAUAUAAAUGAACAAUAUGAAAAAUGAGAAAACAUUGAAAUCCGUUUACUAACUCUUUAUCAAAAUAUUCAUUUUCCUCAAAUACACAAAUAUUGCUGACAUAUAAAUAGAUGUCUUCAAUAAGGUACAUUAGUAAUCAUAGGAAAACUAAUUAAAAAGAAACAAUUUAGAAAUCUAAUUUUUAUUUUCAGAGUUUAAAAACUUAUGUGACUAUUGUGAACGGAUGAAGGAGACAUUCUGGCCUGACUGGGACGAAUGUAUUACUCUUGGAAAUACAAAAGAAGCAACGAAUAAUUAUUGUUUUUGUAAUGAGAUUUUUUGUAUAUACAUAUAAAUAAAUUUGGUGUAUUUACUGUCUUCUGAUUGGUUAAAAGUAUUAGUUUUAUUUUCAAUGUUGUCAAUUUUAUGGCGACACGCCCACUCUGACGUUGUGUAUUCAAACGCCAACAUGUGUGUACGUUGUUAUUGUUAAUAUAAAGAAUAUAAAAAGUUCUUUGAGCCUUAUUUUUGAUAGAAAUUUAUUUAUAAUGAAUGGCAAUAAUUUAUUUUGAAUUUAUUGACCCAUAAAAAUAAUUUUUGACUCUUCACAUUUUACAUAAUCCGCUUCGCGGAUUAUUCAAUGUGAAGAGUCUAAAAUUUAUUUUAUGGGUCAAUAAAUUCAAAAUAAAUAAUAGCCAUUCAUUUAGUAUAUUAAUAAAACAUGGGCAUACAUACAAUUCUUGCUUUCAUAUUACUCUGAUGUUAAUUUAAAUUGGUGCAGAUGUACUCGAAGUGAAUGGAUUAGAUAAAGAUAAUUUUUAAAGAAGAAGAUUGAAAAGACACAUUAUAGCUCUAGUCAUCUUUUAAAUAGGAAAAAAUAUUGAAAUUUUUCGUUCUUUUAAAAUUAUUUCAUUUUUAUUUAAAAAUAAAUAGAAUCACAUUUUAUAUCUUUUUAACCCGAUGAACUUGAAAGCAUUUAGUUUUUUCUUUUUUAUUCUUUAUUCAACCAAGGCCCCUACCAAGGGUUUGCAUUUAAUUAAGUUGACCUACUAUUAGACCUCAUAUCUUUUUUAUCACUAAAACGUCAUCUUCGCUAGCCAAGGGUUACGAUCCACUCCCCUCCUCUCCACUCACAUUUGUGAUCAAACAGAUGUGGAGAUGAGGGGAGUGGGUCGUAACCCUUGGCUAGCGAAGAUGGGGGUUAUACACCUGACCAUUGCUGUAUAGUUUGUCACGAACAAGUCUCGCUUGUUUGCCUAAACUUGUUAUUCAUUUUUCAAGAUCGGGUACAGUUUGCGUCGCCUUAUUUGUUUUGUUUUUGUUUUUUUUUUUUUUUUUUUUAUCUCAGAAGGGAAUUGCUCGUUGAUACCGAAGUUUUUAUGUUUAAAAUUAAGUCGAUAUGCUUGUUUUAAAACAUGUUCCAAUUCUUUCUAUUAGAGAGAUGAUAUUGGCAACAAUCAGGCGUGCUUCAUUUUCAUUCCAUGUGUUUGCCGAAUCUAUGUACAUUUCCACUUUGCUCCAGAGUCCUCAGUUGGUCCUCAGAUGGAUGAUAAGUUAGACCGUUGAAUACCAAGUUAUUUUUCAUGCUACGGCAUUUCAGGUCUAGAAUGGUUUCCUGCAUUCCUUGAUCAUGUUGAUAAUCAUUAUUUUUCCUGUAUUGUGUUUUCCUCAAUCUUUCCAAAAUUAACUCUAUUUGCGUCCUAUUUUCUAUUACUUUUUCAACAACUUAACCAAUGCCGGUCAAGCUGUUUUCAAUUUCUUUUUAAAAAUACUACUUUGCUGUACAAACCAAACAGCGGCCGAUAUGUGUUUUGUAGUGUUAUUCAUACCCAAAGGUGUUGAAAAAAUAAAAUUUGACAGUUUUGCAACGGCUAUUUUAUAGCGAGAUCGUAGAAUCCAAAAAGUCUACAAUUUUCAUCUUUAUUAAUUUAAAUAUUUACUUCAUUGUAACCUAAAAGCUAGACGAAUUUGUUAUUGCAUCCUGUUAUUUGAAGCACGAUGUAAGGGAUAUAACUCAUGUUUCUUAGACUAACCACCAUCCGCACGCUAAACCAGUAUCUUUACGUCUUAAAAUAAUUGGAAAUGAUUGAAUUAUAAUUCAUAAUCUAAAAAUAACUUGUUUACCUAUGAUAGACAUUUAAAAAACACACUUUUAUGUACCCUAUAUGCGUGCAAAGUUGUGUACACAGAUGCUAUAGACAUAUUAGAAAAUAUGGAGAACGAGAAUGUAUUGUUUUGGUCAAAAGCAGCUGGAACGUUCCUGGUAUCGUCAGCAGUGCUUUAUUUCGCCUGGAGAAAAAUAAUAGGCAAAUCUCCUAAGUAAGUUACAUUCUUAUUCACAUAAUUUCAUCAGCUCUAAAAGGUAAUCUUUUUUGGCGCGUUAUUUACUGAACAUCAACAUGAUCAAGAAAGAUAUUAUUCAUAGCAAGUUUAUAUAUACAUGAUAUACACGGGGAUGUUUCUGAAGUGAAAACAAAUAUUUUAAGUGGGUCGAACGUUUACGUACUACAUGAAUAUUAAUCAUGUGCGGUUUAUAUAAAACAUAAAACAUAACAUAUAACAUGUAUAAUAGUAAUUUGUUUAGCAAUUUUACUGUAUUCAAACGAUCACGUAAACAAACUUCAGUACUUUCGAAAUGUAUUUUUAUCAGUAUCAAUGUUCAUGUAAACAAGAAAGACACAAUGCAAUUUGUUAAAAUAUAUUAUGUUUUACCGAACUUUGAUUUUUACGGUACAAUCUCUUAAAUAUGAACAUAUGAAGGGACUCCAGAUACUUUAUAAUGUGAUGAAGUCAUAUAUUUUUAUUUCGAAACCAAAUUUUUUUUUAAUUUGAAAAUAAACAUAUGUUGACAGUUUUAGUUAACCUGGGUUGCGUUCAAUAUCGUAGAUUUGUUUUACUACUGUCAGAACGUGUAGCUAGCCCACUACUAGAUCUAGAUAGCAGCUAGGCUAUCUACACGGUCACUAGUCAAAUAUCUACUUAGCCCUUUGUAGCUGCUACGAUAUAAAGGCAACUCUGUAUCUUACUUUAAAAAAAGAUGCAAAAAUGCAACACACAUGAAAAACAUGCAUACUAUUUUUAGGAAGAAUUACCCACCCGAUACAGUAAUACUUCAUCAGAUUGGACGAGGUCAAUAUGCACCCAGUUUGACACCGUAUGCUAUUAAAUUAGAAACUUAUCUGCGCAUGGCAAACAUUCCUUAUGAAGUAGGUAAAAUUUAUAUAAAUCAUGUUAAAUCUGUAUAAUAAUCAGGAGCUCUACCUACUUUUAAACUUUUAAAUACAUGUAUAAAAAUUAAAUUUUGCUUUUUUUAUUAUUUGACAUUUAAUACUGUACGUGUUUGUUCGUUGUAUUAUCGGUCUUAAUGUGGCUCGGAUGUCUUCCUCAGAUAACUAUUGGUCUAGAUUUUUAAUAAAAUGUACAAAUUUUGUGAGUAGUAUGUGAUUAAUGUGCAAGUCUUUCGUAUUAAUAUAGAAAAUUUUAUAUUUUACUGAUGUAUUUACAGAAGAAGAAAAAAAAACCAAUAUUUUUGUUUCAUUCAUUUUUUUUACAAUUUCGCAGCAUAAGGGGAGAUAAAUCAGAGUAGGGAAAAUAACUCGAAUGAAGUAAUUUUUAUAAUAGAAAGUGUUGUGAGUUUACCUUUUUAAAUAUUUAGCAAGAAAAAAAUUCCGGUAACGCGAUUUUUCUUUUAUUUAUCGUGUUUAUCUGAAGGAUGUUAUAAGAUAUAUCAUCUCAUGUUUCAUCUUUAUAUUCUAUGGUGUAGAGUUCUUUUCAUCACACAAAAUUGGAUUUUCCAUACAUAUUUUAUACAAAAUCGAACAAUUUGGCACAACCUGUAGCAUGAAAAAAAAUUCGAUGAUCCAUACUUUUAUUAUAUAUUUAGGAAAAAGCAAGAUAAAAACUACAUUUUGGGAAAUCAUUAAAAAAAUCUAUGGUAUACAAAAUUGUAAGUCUGCUGACAGUUUACACACCGGGGUAUAAUCAGUCCAGAAAUCAGCACUUCUGUGUUGACAUCGGUAAUCAAUGAUAUGGGAAUAUUAAUAGAUUAACGAAUAAAAUUAAGAAUGGAAACGGGGAAUAUGUCAAAAAGACAACAAUCCGACCAAAGAGCAGAUAACAGUCGAAGGCCAACAUCUUUAAUGCAGCGCGAAUAUCCCGUACCCGGAGGUACACAACAUAUAAAUGAACUAUGUUUUUUUAAAAUAACAAGACUAACGAAAGCUAGAGGCUCCUGACUUGGGACAGGGUUGAAUCGUUCAACAUAUUAAGAAUUUUUUACCCAGAAUAUAUAUUAACUUUUCAAAAUUUUGGGUCCUCAAUGCUCUUCGAUUUCGUUCUUUAUUUGGCCUUUUAUCUGAGUAAUUGGUCUUUUGUAAACGAAAUGCGCGCCUGGUGUACAAAAUUAUAAGCCUGGUAUCUUUUACAAGUUUUGUAAUAUCUCCUGUUCACUGGGUAUUUAUUUUUAGAAUGUACAUAGUUUCUAUACUCCCAGCAAGAAAGGAAAAGUCCCAUGGAUUGAAUAUAAUGGAGAGGAGAUUGCAGAUUCUGAAUUUUGUAUAGAAUAUUUAAAUCAUAAACUAGGAAUCGAUCUAGAUAAAGACUUCACAGCAAAGGAAAAAGGAAUAGCAAGAGCUUUCCAGAAAAUGGUAGAAGAAAACACAUACUGGUAUGUCAAUUCUUUUAAACUCGGGCUCUUAACAGCUUCUAGUUAUUUGUUUCAAGUACUUUCCGAACAGAAUGACUUCAUAUUUAGUUACAUUUAGCAUAACAGUGACAACUUGUAACCUGUAAGGGAUUUGCGAAUGCGUCUGACAACUACUUUAUGUUCCCUAUACCUAACAAAUUAAAACGAACAAGUUAAAGAAUUGAAAGCGUCUUAGGCGCUUUUUUUUGGAAUUCACCAGGAAUACAUUAAGCCAAAUACUUGAAAGACGUGGAUGUAUAAGUACCGAAACAUUUGAAGAGUUAUGUGACAAAAAACGCCUAAAAAUAACCAAAUCCAUCUAACUUCAAGAUCAACUUUGUCUAAGGGAGUUGAAAUCUUAGUUUCUUUUUAAUUUCAAAGUUUAUAAACGGAAAGGUUUAUAAUAAAUCAUGUCAGUACCGAAGUACCGACUACUGAGCUGAUCUUCUACUCAUGGACUGAUCAUCCACAAGCUGAGGUCAAUUGCAGUAAAUCUAAAGAACGUCACAUCACAUUAACGGGUUUUUUAUGUCCCAUUUAUGGGCAUUAUGUUUUAUGGUCUGUGCGUCCGUCUAUUGUCCGUUCGUUAUUCCGUUUGUUCGUCUGUUCGUCAUUUCGUCCUUCUGUCCCGCUUCAGGUUAAAGUUUUUGGUCGAGGUAGUUUUUGAUGAAGUUGUAGUCCAAUCAACUUGAAACUUAGUACACAUGUUCCCUAUGAUAUGAUCUUUCUAAUUUUGAUGCCAAAUUAGAGAUUUUCUCCCAUUUUCACGGUCCACUAAACAUAGAAAAUGAUAGUGCGGAUGGGCAUCGGUACUGGGGACACAUUCUUGUUUCAAUAUUUGUCAAUAUACAGAAAAAAUAGUUGCUUUCUCAUGGACAGCAAACUUGCUAAUAAAAAUUAUCCUCACACCCAAUCAAUAUGUUUGUUUUUAUUCUUUUAAUUUAAAAAAGGAGAUGUGGUAUGAUUGCCAAUGAGACAACUCUCCACAAGAGACCAAAUGACACUUAAAUAUACACACUAUAGGUCACCGUACGGCCUUCAACAAUUAGCAAAGCCCAUACCGCAUAGUCAGCUAUAAAAGGUCCCGGAAUGGCAAAGGUCAAACAAUUCAAACGAAUGAACUAACGGCCUAAAUGUACAAAAAAUGACGAAAAACAAAUAUAGUACAUCAACAAACGACAACCAUUGAAUAUGUCGAAUUAUAUAAAUAAAUUAUAUGUAAAAGUUUUACUGUAGUAGGUUUUAAUUUUGGCUUUAAUAUUGGUUCACUUAUAGGGUCUUUGCAUAGGAAAUUUACACAUUUAUUCUAAAACGAGUUGUUGGCAUGAUACGGGUUAAGUUCUUCUCAUAUAUUUUAUGAUGAUAUAAUACUAAACCCCUAACGAGAGGGAUUGUACUUGAUAUUCAUAUGAUGAAGACAUAAUCUUUCAAUGAGUUUAAUUAAGGUCUGGAGCUGGCAUGUCAGUAACUGCUGGUAGUCCUUUGUGAAUGAAUGUAUCAUUGUCAUUUUUUCAGUUUCAUUUUUUGCAACCUUAUUUAGACAUCGGACUCGGACCUUUUUUUGAAGUGAGUUUUACUGUGCGUAUUGUUGUGGGUUUGUUUUUUCUACAUUGGCUAGAUGUAUAGGGGGAGGGUUGAGAUCUAAAAAAAAAUAUGUUUAACCCCGCUGCAUUGUUGAGCCUGUCCCAAGUCAGGAGCCUCUAGCCUUGUUAGUCUUGUACGUUUUUAAAUUUAAUUUCCUUGUGUAUAUUUUGGAGUAUGACGUUCAUUCUCAUUGAACUAGUAUAACCAUGACACUACAUGUAUCUCUUUGGACUGUUUAUGGUUCUGAGUGUAAACUUUGACUAUUAAUUAUUGCAUUUAUAACAGGGCACUUGCAAUGGAUAGAUGGGUAUUUGAUAAGGACUGGACAGCUUGUAAAGCUAUGAGAACUCCAACAUUGAUUGCUUAUUUUAUCAGACGGUCAGUUAGGAAAGAUACGUAUGCCGUUGGUAUUGGACGACAUAGUUCAGACGAGGUGUACCACAUUAUGGAUCUUGAUUUAAAAGCUUUAUCAGACUUCAUAGGUAAAGUGUUGGUCAUUGUAUUGAAUUGCUCACCUGGGAAAAUUAUAUAACGUUAUUAAGCAAAAUAUUGUAACUCUCACAUUCUGUCCUAAGAAAUAACAACAAUUAUUUAAUUGGUUCAAAAGUAAAAUAACAAAAAUGAAAAUUCAAAACGGAAAUACUCUUAUCAAAUGACAAAAUCAAAAGCUAGCUCAAACACAUCAAACGAAUGGAAAACAGCUUGGUACAGGGAAUCUCUUAUGUAGAAAAUGGUGGAUAAAACCUGGUUUUAUAGCUAGCUAAACAUCUCAAUUGUAUAACAGUCAAAUAAAAUUCUUUCAUAUUGUCAACAGUGUGUGAACAAAACAAACAGACAUAAUAGAUGAAAAUAUCAAAAAUGGGUAUAUACAUAGACAAUAGGCACAAAAAAAUAGAUUAAGAACAUAUAAGCAAAACUGAAAAAAAACUGAAAAAAAUUACAUCACAACAAAAAAAUUGGCUGGAUGCAUAAAAACCUAGCCACGUCAAAAGCAUAUUAACAAAAAGUGUUUUGAACCAGGGUGAAAAACAUGGCAAGAGUGUUGAAUUUGAAUCUCUAAAACUAAAACGAGAAACUAUUAUAAAUCUUAUUAACAAACGACAACCAUGCACUGAACAACAGGUUCCUGACUUAGGACAGGUGCAAACAAAUGAUGCUGGUUCAAACGUUUUAAUCGGCGCCAACCUUCACCCUAACCACGCAUUUUUAUGGUACUACAAUCUGUCCCAUACCUUUAUUUUGGCAUUGCAUAGGGCCUGUUUUUCUUUGACUGUUAAUGACGUUUUCACACUUAAUUCAUCGGAUAUUAGAUGUGUACUGAUUGAUAUUUUAGUCUUAGAUACAUGACUUAUUCAAUUGCAUGCAGUUGAUAUUGGAUUUGAACUAGCUUAUUUAUUAACUGCAAGUUCUCUCAGAUCUGUACUUGGUGUCCUUUUUUGUUGUUAGGAACGAUUAAUUAAUAAAUGCAUUGCCACUUAAGGUAGGCUGUGUAUUUGUUCGAGGGUUUUCUGCUUUAUAUCGAAAUGAUGAGUUUAGCCUUCUUCAACUGAUUUUUAUACGACCGCAAAAAAAGGGUCGUGUAUUGGUAUCAUGUUGUCGUCGUCGUCCGAAAACAAAUGGUUUCUGGACAAUAACUUUAGUAUAAAUAAAUAGAAAUCUAUGAAAUUUUAGCACAAGGUUUAUAACCACAAAAGGAAGGUUGUGAUUUUGGGAGUUAUGGUUCCAAUAGUUUAGUAAUUGGGGGCAAAAGAGGGCCCAAGUAAGCAUUUUUGUAGUUUCUAGACAAUAACUUGUGUUUAAGUGUAAGAAUUUCUCUGAAAUUAUACCACAAGUUUCCACACGACAAUGGGAUGGUUAGGAUUGACUUUGAGGGGUUAUGGCUCAAACCAUUUAGGAAUUAGGGACAAAAUAGGUGGACAACAAGUUUUUUUUUCUGGUUAAAGGACAACUAAGACAAUUUAAAUACAGUCUAAGUAAAUAAGAAUUUGUGGGGGGACUUUCAGAAUUCAGAAAUUAAAAAGAAAAUGUCUUCAAACAAUUUUUAUUUGGGGGGUUAAUAUUCAACAGGAUAUUCCACAGAAGGAAAAAAACGGGGUAUUUUUUUUAAGGGGGAGGGGUCAACUUGCAACAGCAUAGUGUAUUGUACAAAUUCAAAAAAAAAAAGAAUAUAAAUUCAAAUCAUAUAACCAAUUGUCUAUUUGGCUAUAACUCUUCAGGGUUGGACAUCUGCGGUCGUAUCCAGCUGCGUUCAGCGAAGCAAUUUAUUAUAGUUUGUUCUUAUGUUGUGCUGUUAAACAACUUCCCCAGUCUAGAGGAAUAUAAAGCGCACACAAUAGUGUUUAACCCGCCAUAAUAUUUACCACGUUUGUGUACCUUUUCCCAAUCAGGAGACUGGAGCUCAGUGAUCUUCGGUGGUCGUCGUUGGUUCAUGUCUCAUAUUUUUUUUAUUUUUUUUUUUCGCAAAUUAUGCCGUUAGUUUUCUCUAUUGAAUUCUUUCAUAUUUUUCAUGUCGGGGCCUUUUAUAGCCGACUAUACGGAAUUUUUAUUUCUCAUGUUGAAGGUCAUAUGGUUACCUAUAAUUGCUAAAUCCACUUUAUUUUAUUUUGGUGAAUAUAUGUCUUAUUCAUCUGAAUUACCUGGAUUUUUUUUGGCAAAUGAAACGUUCUGUUAUAUGGCACAAAUGAAUUUCAAAUAUGACUUGCGACACCCUAAAAUAAUUUGAAUGUAGAAAGUAUUACUUUUUUUUUUAUUAAGCUCUACAAUAUUAUGUUUUGCCAAAUAUGAUAGUAAUAUUGUUGUCAUUAACAUGUAUCAAUAACAUAUUAAACCAAAGCAACUAAUGAAUGUUUGAGCAAAGUUUUUGUAAUGAUAUAAUUUAUGCGGAACAAAUUAUCAGCUAAAACUUAUUUUCAUCUAAAAAAAAAUCACAGGCCUUAGAUAAGAUCAACUUGAUUAUCGUACAGUUUUAAACAUGUUCUUUACUGUUGUAUACAAUGAUAUCAAGUACUCUUACAUGAACUCAAUUUCAAUGACAAACCAUUAAAAGCAGCUUCUAACUUUUUUAAAUUACGUUAUUUGAACUUUUGUUUUAGGUAAUAAAAAUUUUUGCUAGGAGACAAGCCAUGCCAAGCAGACUGUAGUGUAUUUGGUAUGAUUGGUAAUGCAUACUGGCAAUCGUUCGGGAGUCCAGCAGAAUCAGCAAUCAAAAGUAAGUAUCAUAUCAAAAUGUCAUGAUUAUUAUCAUUUGUGUGUCUUCCGAACGAGGACAUUCAUUCCAAGAAAACACAGAAAAUAAAAGAUGCAAUUUAUAAAAUGAUUGACAGUUUCCUUUUAUUAUUUGAAUCAUUAUCAUUUAUACGAACGUUUUACUAAUGGCGUGUCCCUUUUUAAUCUAUAUGCAUUCUAUAUGAGUACGACGACUUAAAAACUUACAGAACACAAACAUUUUAUCAAAUAUCUACUUUUGUUCUCACUUUUGAACUAUCUAUUAAUUGUGAAUUCAAAGUUUUUCUUUAAAAUGGAUUCUGUACGGAUAGAUAAAGAAUGCAUCUUAUAGCAUAGACUAAUACUAAUAUCAUACAUGGUUAGCUGUCUUUAUUUCAAACAGCCCGUUAUAAAAAAAGUUCUAUAAAAUAUAUAAUCCAAUAGACUUUCUGUAGAUUUUUUUUUAUUAUGGAAAUGUAUUAAUUUGAACACACACUAAAAACAGUGUAAAGUUAUAAGGUUUCUUUCUUUUUUUUUGUUACAUACAUUAAUGGCAAAUAGAAAGAACUUAAAAAACUAUGUACAAUAUUUGCUCAUAAUUAUUUUUUUAAUACUUUUUAGAUGUGCAUUAAUUGAUGACGUAUAAAAGUAUGUCAAGUGCAAUGAAAAUUAAUCGAACGAAAGCAAAAAAAUAUGUACAAAAUGUUUUGAAAUAUGAAUUUAUCAAAAUUGAUUAAUGAAAUAUAAAAGUAUGUCUCAAAUAAAAUACAUCAAAAUCAAUGCAAGUGCCAUGAAAAUUAAUUUUUAUUUUCAGAAUAUAGAAACUUGUGUGACUAUUGUCAAAGGAUGAAGGAGACAUUCUGGCCUGACUGGGACGAAUGUAUUUCUCAUGGAUUUACAAAAGAGCCAACUAAAUAAUUAUUUUUGUGAAUAGCUUCUCUGUAUGUACAUGUAUUAGCUUCUCUGUAUAUACAUGUAUUAGCUUCUCUGUAUAUACAUGUAUGAGAUCAUAACAAUUCGGUAUGUAAAUAUGAAAUAAUUUUUUUGCUUUUCUAUUACUAUGAUUGUCAAUUGGUGAAAACGAACUUGGAAGUGAAUGGAUUUGAUUGGUUGUAAAUUAGAAGGUAUAAUGAUCCAUUAUCUAGUCCUCAAAAUUUAAAACAUAAAAUUAUUUCAUCCUUUGACGAUGAGAUCAUUUGUAUUGAAAUGAAUGUAGUGAUAUAGUUUUGACGCUUCGAGUAAGAAAAAUAAUGUUUGUUGUAAUUUUGCUAUGACAGUAUAAUUUUUAAAAAUUUCGUUUUCCGUGUUUACUUAGAUUUUGACAAAAUUCAAAAAAUGCUUCAUCCUUACCUUCAUACAUUGUAUGUUCGUUGAUAUCGACGGAUUAAAUUUCACUCAGGUAUUUUUAAUUAUUCAAAAUACUGAAAAGUCAUCGAUCCCAAUCUCAACCAUUCUCAUUCAGCUGUUUUGUACUCGAUCAUAAACUAAAUCAUACUCAAAGACAUGAACUAGUACCCAUUCUUUAAUCAUUCCCAACAUAUACAAUAUUUCACUAUUUUUUUUACUCAAAAGAAUUCAAUAAUAAAACAAAAUAACAGAUGUGUUUCAUUGCCAAUGACACAACUCACCAACAGGAACCAAAUGACGAUAUUCAUUAAUCGAUCUCAAUAUUUUAGCACUAAAAUGCGAGAAAUGUCUAAAAUAUUGAAUAAAUUUAGGAGUCGCCAAUCCAACUUCAUGUAUACAUGUAACUGUCUGCUAACACUGAGUCGCCAUAUUGUGCAUAGUUUACUCUGUUACCUUCUCUUAGAACUAUUCGGAACAAAGUUGAUGUGGACAGAAAUAUCGAAACACUUUCUUUAGACAUCCAUUGGAAAUCUUACCGGCUCACUCCGUUUAGAAAAAAAACCCAACCUCGACGACAACAUGGUACUAAAAGGAGGGGUGACGAAAAUGACUCCUGAAUUAAGGAUGUGUUUAUCUUUAUAAGCCACAAGGAUAAAAAACAACAGUCAACCUUAGCCAAAAUAACUAAAAUAAAUUAAAAUGCUUUUUGAAUGCACUCUUAAAAAAAACAGUGCCCCACAAUGUUCUUCGAUGUUAUGAAAUUAAAUUUCUUUAACAAUCAAACAUGCGGACUCAAACACUGUAAUAUACAAGAAACCCUCUUUCUUAUACUUAUCUGAACGUGCCUUAGAAGAGCAAUCCUUACUGUUCAUGCACUACCAUCAAUUCAGACAUUUUAUAUGAUUUCAUAACUAGUUCAACUCAACUUUGCUGGCUUGUUUCAAUUUGAGAGACGGGAUGAGUACAAUUUAGUUGAAGGUAGAAGUCAGAAUACACAGUUUGAUUUUUGUAUUUAUCAACAACAACACUAAAGAAUCAUUUGUCCCCCGCCAUCCCCUCAAACAAAAAGGGCACUGUCAAAAAAUACAUCAGCAUGACCAAUCACCUGCUCAUGAUUUGCACUUUUUGCAAAAGAAUGCAAUAGAUUAAUGUAAUUGCAUGUUACCGAUGACAAUGUCCAAGUAUUUCGGAAUAACCAUCUUCAUUCUAAUGUGUUGAAAGCCAGAUCAUACAUCAUCGACAAACAAAGCAUCUUGAGCAUAAAUAGAAUAGUUUAAACUGAUUGCAAUUAAUUCGGACAUGUGUUUCUUGAAUACCAUUUGUACGCUUGAACAGAUUAUUCAACAAGAAAACACACAAAACGUGUAAAAGCACCAUAGAGCAGAUGAAUAUUUACGACCAAUUUGAUACAAAGAAGAAAUGACUUAUGAUUAUCCAUAGUUUAAUUUGAAGUAUUCGAAGGUCGUAAUUAUGACAUACCAAGUUGUAAAAAUUCGUAAUAGCAGGAAAAGCAAAACACCUUUUGUAUAUUACCAAUACUUUCAUAUAAAUUAUAUUGCAUUUUGAAUAUAUGAAGUAAAUCUG
rnacentral:lncRNA from 1 species